GAUGAACGCUGGCGGCGUGCUUAACACAUGCAAGUCGAACGAUGAAGCCCAGCUUGCUGGGUGGAUUAGUGGCGAACGGGUGAGUAACACGUGAGUAACCUGCCCUUGACUCUGGGAUAAGCCUGGGAAACUGGGUCUAAUACUGGAUAUGACUUCUCAUCGCAUGGUGGGGGGUGGAAAGAUUUAUUGGUCUUGGAUGGACUCGCGGCCUAUCAGCUUGUUGGUGAGGUAAUGGCUCACCAAGGCGACGACGGGUAGCCGGCCUGAGAGGGUGACCGGCCACACUGGGACUGAGACACAGCCCAGACUCCUACGGGAGGCAGCAGUGGGGAAUAUUGCACAAUGGGCGCAAGCCUGAUGCAGCGACGCCGCGUGAGGGAUGACGGCCUUCGGGUUGUAAACCUCUUUCAGUAGGGAAGAAGCGAGAGUGACGGUACCUGCAGAAGAAGCGCCGGCUAACUACGUG
rnacentral:rRNA from 1 species